UUCCCAGGAGCUCAGCAGUUUCUGAAAUACUCAAACUGGACCACCAGGCACGAACAACCAUGCCACAGUUAAAGUCACAGAUCACACUUUUCCCCCAUGCUUAUGUUUGACAUGAGCAUUAACUGAAGCUCUUGACCUGCAUCAAUGAUUUUAAGCAUUGUGCUGCUGCCACAUGACCGCCUGAAUGGGUAACUGCAUAAAUGAGCAGGUAUCCAGUUGUUCCUAUUAAAGUGGACAGUGAGUGUAUAUUUACAAGAGAGGGGUGUCCAAUUUCAUCCGGAAAGGGCCGGUGUAGGUGCAGGUUUUCAUUCCAACCAAGCAGAAACCACACUAGAUUCUGAUCUAUUGUCAUCUUUUGAUCUCAAACCCAGAUGCCUUCAGUGCACAGAAAAACAAAAAGUAUGUGCCUUGCCAUUCCAAUACUUUCGCAAGGGACUGUAUAUCUAAUACCAUAUUAUAAAGAGGCCGAUGUACCUUCCUCUUUCUGUCCUCCUCUGCAUACUUUUCAGCAUUCUUAAUCAUGUUCUCAAUGUCAUCUUUACUAAGACCUCCAGAGGACUGGAUGAUAACUGAAAAAAAUUAACAAAUGAAACAAUUCCAUAAGUUCUCCUGAGGAUUUUUUUUUUAAAAGAAUAACCUGUAUGGCAAACCUCAAAUCUUACUUUGCUGUUCACGUCCAGUGCCUUUGUCUUUAGCAGAAACGUGCACAAUUCCAUUGGCGUCAAUAUCAAAGGUAACUUCAAUCUGUGGAACUCCACGUGGAGCAGGAGGGAUGCCAAUCUGUUAACAGUAACAGAUCAUGUAUUAAAUUAGUAAUAGUUCUCCAAUUUGUAAUGUAAUUUUCCUUAAGUUAACAAACUAUUUAUUUUAAAUGCCUCAAACAGACAAAGGCGAGAAAUAACUAGAGCCACGCUAUGCGCUCCUUUAAGAGCUCAUGUAAUUAAAGCCACACUGAUGUAAUCUUUUAUCUAAGCUCUGAUUUGCAUAUGUUAUCAUAAAUACAUCAGAAUAAAAUAGUAUUUCAUUCCAUUGUAAUAAUUUUUCAGUCUUUUUAUAUGCAUACAACCUCAGUUUUUAUAUAUGUAUACUAUGACUUACCAGUGUGAACUGUCCAAGGUUCUUAUUAUCCACUGCCAUUUCACGCUCACCUUGGCAAACUUUAAUUUCUACUUGUGUUUGCCCAUCAGCAGCAGUAGAAAACACCUGAGUAAAUUCAAGAGAGAGGUAAUGCAACUUGAUAGUUAUUAAAGCCUCCUCCUAAGAAUUUUGACACCAAUUUUGGUGACACCAAUUUUGGAAACUGUAGGUUUCACCAUAUUCAGCAAGUCAGCUAAAAACAUAAUUGUGCAAAUUAACAGACAUGGCCUCAGCUGAACAAAAGAAAUAAAAAUCAUUUUCACUCUAGGACAACAACAAUAAUAUGAAGAUGUAUAUAAUUUUAGCACUCCGGUUAAGUUGUCCACCAUGGGGCUUUUGAAUUUUGUACUGUCAAAUGUUAGGUGUAUGCAAAUUUCAGGAUUUUGUGAGUUUUCCAUCGCAUAAAUUAAUGCAAAGUCAAGUUCAAAAUGGUUAUAUUUUUACCACAGUUAUUAUAGAAAUUAAUUAUAAUAUUAUACAUUAUAUAAAUGAAUUACUUAUUUAUCAAUAUUAACUUGAAUUGUUAUUUUAUCAGGAAAAUUACCUGGCUUUUUUUGGUGGGAAUGGUUGUAUUCCGGUUUAUAAGUUUGGUGAACACACCUCCCAGAGUCUCAAUUCCCAAAGAGAGUGGAGUGACAUCCAGCAGGAGCACAUCGGUCACAUCUCCAGCCAACACACCA